rnacentral:rRNA from 1 species
CCUACGGGAGGCAGCAGUGGGGAAUUUUGGACAAUGGGCGAAAGCCUGAUCCAGCAAUGCCGCGUGCAGGAUGAAGGCCUUCGGGUUGUAAACUGCUUUUGUACGGAACGAAACGGUCUUUUCUAAUACAGAAGGCUAAUGACGGUACCGUAAGAAUAAGCACCGGCUAACUACGUGCCAGCAGCCGCGGUAAUACGUAGGGUAGCAAGCGUUAAUCGGAAUUACUGGGCGUAAAGCGUGCGCAGGCGGUUAUGUAAGACAGUUGUGAAAUCCCCGGGCUCAACCUGGGAAUUGUCAUCUGUGACUGCAUAGCUAGAGUACGGUAGAGGGGGAUGGAAUUCCGCGUGUAGCAGUGAAAUGCGUAGAUAUGCGGAGGAACACCGAUGGCGAAGGCAAUCCCCUGGACCUGUACUGACGCUCAUGCACGAAAGCGUGGGGAGCAAACAGGAUUAGGAUACCCUGGUAGUCCACGCCCUAAACGACUGUCAACUGGUUGUUGGGUCUUCACUGACUCAGUAACGAAGCUAACGCGUGAAGUUGACCGCCUGGGGAGUACGGCCGCGAAGGUUGAAACUCAAAGGAUUGACGG